rnacentral:tRNA from 1 species
GAGGGGAUAGCUCAGUGGCAGAGUGCGUGCUCAGCAUGCAGGAGGUCCUGGGUUCAGUCCCCAGUACCUCCA